GAUGAACGCUGGCGGCGUGCCUAAUACAUGCAAGUCGAGCGAAUGGAUUAAGAGCUUGCUCUUAUGAAGUUAGCGGCGGACGGGUGAGUAACACGUGGGUAACCUGCCCAUAAGACUGGGAUAACUCCGGGAAACCGGGGCUAAUACCGGAUAACAUUUUGAACCGCAUGGUUCGAAAUUGAAAGGCGGCUUCGGCUGUCACUUAUGGAUGGACCCGCGUCGCAUUAGCUAGUUGGUGAGGUAACGGCUCACCAAGGCAACGAUGCGUAGCCGACGUGAGAGGGUGAUCGGCCACACUGGGACUGAGACACGGCCCAGACUCCUACGGGAGGUAGCAGUAGGGAAUAUUCCGCAAUGGACGAAAGUCUGACGGAGCAACGCCGCGUGAGUGAUGAAGGCUUUCGGGUCGUAAAACUCUGUUGUUAGGGAAGAACAAGUGCUAGUUGAAUAAGCUGGCACCUUGACGGUACCUAACCAGAAAGCCACGGCUAACUACGUGCCAGCCGCCGCCGUAA
rnacentral:rRNA from 1 species